rnacentral:rRNA from 1 species
UACCAGCACCCCGAGUGGUCGGGACGUUUAUUGGGCGUAAAGCGUCCGCAGGUGGCACUUCAAGUCUGUCGUCAAAGACCGGGGCUUAACCCUGGAAAGGCGAUGGAAACUGAAAGGCUAGAGAGAGGUAGGGGUAGAGGGAAUUCCCAGUGUAGCGGUGAAAUGCGUAGAGAUUGGGAAGAACAUCGGUGGCGAAAGCGCUCUACUGGACCUCAUCUGACACUCAGGGACGAAAGCUAGGGGAGCGAAUGGG